UCUUUAUCAAGAGUGGCGGAGGGACAGGCCCGCAGAUGCCACAGCAACCAUCCUGGCACCGCCAGUGCAGGGGAUCGGUGCUAAUUCCUGGCCAUAGGCACUAUGGCGAAGAUGAGGA
rnacentral:ncRNA from 2 species